rnacentral:rRNA from 1 species
GGGGCAGCGGGGGAGUGGCAACACUUCCGCCGGUGACCGGCGCACGGGUGAGUAACACGUAUGAAACCUGCCCGCAGCAGGGGGAUAAGCGGAAGAAAUUCCGUCUAAUACCGCGUAACAACCGACGGGGGCAUCCCUGUUGGUUCAAGGGAGCGAUCCGGCUGCGGAUGGUCAUGCGGCGCAUUAGCUAGUUGGCGGGGCAACGGCCCACCAAGGCGACGAUGCGUAGGGGUUCUGAGAGGAAGGUCCCCCACACUGGUACUGAGACACGGACCAGACUCCUACGGGAGGCAGCAGUGAGGAAUAUUGGUCAAUGGCCGAGAGGCUGAACCAGCCAAGUCGCGUGAGGGAUGACGGCCCUACGGGUUGUAAACCUCUUUUGCCGGGGAGCAAAGAGCGGGACGCGUCCCGCCUCGAGAGUACCCGGAGAAAAAGCAUCGGCUAACUCCGUGCCAGCAGCCGCGGUAAUACGGAGGAUGCGAGCGUUAUCCGGAUUUAUUGGGUUUAAAGGGUGCGCAGGCGGAAGCGCAAGUCAGCGGUAAAAAUUGAGAG